GAUUUCCGAAUGGGGAAACCCAGUGUGUUUCGACACACUAUCAUUAACUGAAUCCAUAGGUUAAUGAGGCGAACCGGGGGAACUGAAACAUCUAAGUACCCCGAGGAAAAGAAAUCAACCGAGAUUCCCCCAGUAGCGGCGAGCGAACGGGGAGCAGCCCAGAGCCUGAAUCAGUGUGUGUGUUAGUGGAAGCGUCUGGAAAGGCGCGCGAUACAGGGUGACAGCCCCGUACACAAAAAUGCACAUGCUGUGAGCUCGAUGAGUAGGGCGGGACACGUGGUAUCCUGUCUGAAUAUGGGGGGACCAUCCUCCAAGGCUAAAUACUCCUGACUGACCGAUAGUGAACCAGUACCGUGAGGGAAAGGCGAAAAGAACCCCGGCGAGGGGAGUGAAAAAGAACCUGAAACCGUGUACGUACAAGCAGUGGGAGCACGCUUAGGCGUGUGACUGCGUACCUUUUGUAUAAUGGGUCAGCGACUUAUAUUCUGUAGCAAGGUUAACCGAAUAGGGGAGCCGAAGGGAAACCGAGUCUUAACUGGGCGUUAAGUUGCAGGGUAUAGACCCGAAACCCGGUGAUCUAGCCAUGGGCAGGUUGAAGGUUGGGUAACACUAACUGGAGGACCGAACCGACUAAUGUUGAAAAAUUAGCGGAUGACUUGUGGCUGGGGGUGAAAGGCCAAUCAAACCGGGAGAUAGCUGGUUCUCCCCGAAAGCUAUUUAGGUAGCGCCUCGUGAAUUCAUCUCCGGGGGUAGAGCACUGUUUCGGCAAGGGGGUCAUCCCGACUUACCAACCCGAUGCAAACUGCGAAUACCGGAGAAUGUUAUCACGGGAGACACACGGCGGGUGCUAACGUCCGUCGUGAAGAGGGAAACAACCCAGACCGCCAGCUAAGGUCCCAAAGUCAUGGUUAAGUGGGAAACGAUGUGGGAAGGCCCAGACAGCCAGGAUGUUGGCUUAGAAGCAGCCAUCAUUUAAAGAAAGCGUAAUAGCUCACUGGUCGAGUCGGCCUGCGCGGAAGAUGUAACGGGGCUAAACCAUGCACCGAAGCUGCGGCAGCGACGCUGAUGCGUUGUUGGGUAGGGGAGCGUUCUGUAAGCCUGCGAAGGUGUGCUGUGAGGCAUGCUGGAGGUAUCAGAAGUGCGAAUGCUGACAUAAGUAACGAUAAAGCGGGUGAAAAGCCCGCUCGCCGGAAGACCAAGGGUUCCUGUCCAACGUUAAUCGGGGCAGGGUGAGUCGACCCCUAAGGCGAGGCCGAAAGGCGUAGUCGAUGGGAAACAGGUUAAUAUUCCUGUACUUGGUGUUACUGCGAAGGGGGGACGGAGAAGGCUAUGUUGGCCGGGCGACGGUUGUCCCGGUUUAAGCGUGUAGGCUGGUUUUCCAGGCAAAUCCGGAAAAUCAAGGCUGAGGCGUGAUGACGAGGCACUACGGUGCUGAAGCAACAAAUGCCCUGCUUCCAGGAAAAGCCUCUAAGCAUCAGGUAACAUCAAAUCGUACCCCAAACCGACACAGGUGGUCAGGUAGAGAAUACCAAGGCGCUUGAGAGAACUCGGGUGAAGGAACUAGGCAAAAUGGUGCCGUAACUUCGGGAGAAGGCACGCUGAUAUGUAGGUGAAGUCCCUCGCGGAUGGAGCUGAAAUCAGUCGAAGAUACCAGCUGGCUGCAACUGUUUAUUAAAAACACAGCACUGUGCAAACACGAAAGUGGACGUAUACGGUGUGACGCCUGCCCGGUGCCGGAAGGUUAAUUGAUGGGGUUAGCGCAAGCGAAGCUCUUGAUCGAAGCCCCGGUAAACGGCGGCCGUAACUAUAACGGUCCUAAGGUAGCGAAAUUCCUUGUCGGGUAAGUUCCGACCUGCACGAAUGGCGUAAUGAUGGCCAGGCUGUCUCCACCCGAGACUCAGUGAAAUUGAACUCGCUGUGAAGAUGCAGUGUACCCGCGGCAAGACGGAAAGACCCCGUGAACCUUUACUAUAGCUUGACACUGAACAUUGAGCCUUGAUGUGUAGGAUAGGUGGGAGGCUUAGAAGUGUGGACGCCAGUCUGCAUGGAGCCGACCUUGAAAUACCACCCUUUAAUGUUUGAUGUUCUAACGUUGACCCGUAAUCCGGGUUGCGGACAGUGUCUGGUGGGUAGUUUGACUGGGGCGGUCUCCUCCUAAAGAGUAACGGAGGAGCACGAAGGUUGGCUAAUCCUGGUCGGACAUCAGGAGGUUAGUGCAAUGGCAUAAGCCAGCUUGACUGCGAGCGUGACGGCGCGAGCAGGUGCGAAAGCAGGUCAUAGUGAUCCGGUGGUUCUGAAUGGAAGGGCCAUCGCUCAACGGAUAAAAGGUACUCCGGGGAUAACAGGCUGAUACCGCCCAAGAGUUCAUAUCGACGGCGGUGUUUGGCACCUCGAUGUCGGCUCAUCACAUCCUGGGGCUGAAGUAGGUCCCAAGGGUAUGGCUGUUCGCCAUUUAAAGUGGUACGCGAGCUGGGUUUAGAACGUCGUGAGACAGUUCGGUCCCUAUCUGCCGUGGGCGCUGGAGAACUGAGGGGGGCUGCUCCUAGUACGAGAGGACCGGAGUGGACGCAUCACUGGUGUUCGGGUUGUCAUGCCAAUGGCACUGCCCGGUAGCUAAAUGCGGAAGAGAUAAGUGCUGAAAGCAUCUAAGCACGAAACUUGCCCCGAGAUGAGUUCUCCCUGACCCUUUAAGGGUCCUGAAGGAACGUUGAAGACGACGACGUUGAUAGGCCGGGUGUGUAAGCGCAGCGAUGCGUUGAGCUAACCGGUACUAAUGAACCGUGAGGCUUAACCU
rnacentral:rRNA from 1 species